UACGGAGGGUGCAAGCGUUGCUCGGAAUCACUGGGCGUAAAGGGCGUGUAGGCGGUCUCGUAUGUCUGACGUGAAAGCCCCGGGCUCAACCCGGGAAGUGCGGUUGGAAACUGCGAGACUAGAGUCUCGGAGAGGAAGGUGGAAUUCCAGGUGUAGCGGUGAAAUGCGUAGAUAUCUGGAAGAACACCGGUGGCGAAGGCGGCCUUC
rnacentral:rRNA from 1 species